UUUCUGUCCGUUUUCCGUUUCCAAGGGAACGUCGCCGCGAAUCAAAAGAAUCAAUCCCGCACGCAUUUCACGUUCAUCCCUUCCCUCCCUCCCUCCUGAAAAACCCCACCUUUUUCCAUGCCCAGCAGAAACAGAGAGAGAGAGAGAGAGAGAGAGAGAGAGAGAAGACGACACAGAGCUGUGAGAGCAGUAAAAGGGGAGGAGAAAGGACGGGCGAGACGACGAGAGAUUGAGAAGGGAUAAACCCCCCACCAGCAAGAAAGUUUGUAUGCGUGUCGUGGACACGCGGGCAGACGCAGACAGACAACUAUUAGUCGUCAUUGCGUCCUCUUCUUCCGUUAUAUAUUCUUAUCCCCCGUCCUCAUCUGCUCCUCUUCCUCCGUCCCUGUUCUUCCCUUAUCGGCCCAUUCUGGGUGAUUUCUUGCCUUCAUUUUGCAUUCGAGUGGAUUGAGGAGCUGAGGAAGUGAUUGUUUCUCUUUCUGGGAUUUCUUCAUUCCGGUGGUUGGAGGGAUUGGUAGCAGUGCUGGUUUGAGGAAGGAAAAAAAUAAAAAAUAAAAAUAAAGAAAGGUAAAUGAGAUAUGUCGAUGCCCAAAGAGCCGGAGCAGGUGAUGAAGCUGAGAGGAGGGUCGGUGCUGGGGAAGAAGACCAUUCUCAAGAGUGACCAUUUCCCCGGCUGCCAGAACAAGCGCCUCUCCCCUCAGAUCGAUGGCGCCCCCAAUUACCGUCAGGCGGACUCAUUGCGCGUCCAUGGAGUCGCGAUUCCGACCCUUGAUGGGAUUCGGAAUGUUCUUAAGCAUAUCGGCGCCCAGGAGGAUGGGAUGCGGGCGAAGGUUCUCUGGAUUAGUCUUCGGGAGGAGCCGGUUGUGUACAUCAAUGGACGUCCCUUUGUUUUGCGUGAUGUGGAAAAGCCCUUCUCCAACCUUGAAUACACGGGAAUUAAUCGGGAUAGGGUUGAGCAGAUGGAGGAAAGAUUAAAAGAAGAUAUCAUGGUGGAAGCUGCAAGCAGAUAUGGGAAUAAGAUCCUUGUAACUGAUGAACUGCCAGAUGGCCAAAUGGUGGAUCAAUGGGAACCUGUGUCCGGCGAUUCUGUGAAGACACCUCUGGAGGUAUCAAUUUCCGAACUGGCAGCGGAGACCGUGCCAAAAAAGGUGUACCAAGAAUUGCAACUCGAAGGUUACCUUGUUGAUUAUGAACGUGUGCCUGUAACUGAUGAAAAAUCACCAAAGGAGCAAGAUUUUGAUAUUUUGGUGGACAAAAUUUCCCAGGCAGAUAUUUCUACCGACAUAGUGUUUAACUGUCAGAUGGGACGUGGAAGGACAACAACUGGAAUGGUGAUCGCUACUCUUAUUUACCUUAACCGUAUUGGGGCUUCAGGUAUUCCGAGAAUCAAUUCUAUUGGGAGGAUUUCCGACUCUGCCUCUAGUGUCCCAGACAAUUUGCCGAAUUCAGAAGAGGCAAUUCGCCGGGGGGAGUAUGCUGUCAUAAGAAGCUUGAUCAGGGUCUUGGAGGGCGGUGUUGAGGGCAAAAGACAAGUUGAUAAAGUAAUUGACAAGUGCGCCUCCAUGCAGAAUUUGCGUGAGGCGAUCGGCAAUUACCGCAACAGUAUUUUACGUCAAGCUGAUGAGAUGAAGAGAGAGGCAUUACUCUCAUUCUUUGUGGAGUAUUUGGAGAGAUACUACUUCCUUAUAUGUUUUGCGGUUUAUAUCCAUUCGGAGAGGGAAGCGCUCCACUCUAGUUCUCUUGGCCAUAGCAGUUUUGCUGAUUGGAUGAAAGCAAGGCCUGAACUCUAUAGCAUAAUUCGUAGGCUGCUUAGGCGGGAUCCAAUGGGUGCACUAGGAUACUCAACUCGCAAGCCAUCUUUGACGAAGAUAGUAGAAUCUGCAGAUGGCCGCCCUUAUGAAAUGGGAGUAGUUGCCGCCCGAAGAACUGGAGAGGUUCUUGGAAGUCAAACAGUACUUAAAAGUGAUCACUGCCCAGGUUGUCAAAACCCUAGCUUACCUGAGAGGGUGGAGGGUGCCCCAAAUUUCCGAGAAGUUCCUGGCUUUCCUGUUUAUGGAGUUGCAAACCCGACCAUUAAUGGGAUAAGAUCAGUCAUCCGGAGGAUCGGUAGUGGAAAACAUGGACGCCCAGUAUUCUGGCAUAACAUGAGAGAAGAGCCGGUUAUCUACAUCAAUGGAAAGCCAUUUGUUCUUCGUGAAGUUGAAAGGCCAUACAAAAACAUGCUUGAAUAUUCGGGUAUUGAUCGGGAGAGAGUAGAGAAGAUGGAAGCUCGUUUAAAAGAAGAUAUUCUUCGAGAAGCUGAACGCUAUGGUGGUGCUAUCAUGGUCAUUCAUGAAACAGAGGAUGGACAAAUAUUUGAUGCUUGGGAACAUGUAAAUUCUGAAUCUGUUCAGACCCCUCUGGAAGUGUUUAAGAGCUUGGAGUCCGAAGGCUUCCCAAUUAAGUAUGCAAGGGUGCCUAUAACUGACGGAAAAGCUCCUAAGAGUUCCGACUUCGACACAUUAGCUGUCAAUAUUUCUUCUGCUUCCAAGGACACUGCUUUUGUUUUCAAUUGCCAGAUGGGGAGGGGAAGAACCACUACGGGGACUGUAAUUGCUUGCCUUCUAAAGCUCCGAAUUGAAUAUGGGAGACCCAUUAGAGUUCUAGUUGAUGACAUGGUCCAGGAAGAAGAGGUGGACGAGGGCUCCUCGAGUGGAGAAGAAAAUGGAAGCAAUAAUACUCCUGCAUCUACAAAAUUGGUCAAGGAAAACUCAAACAAGGAGCAAACUCGUGCUUUUGGAAUGAAUGACAUCCUAUUGCUGUGGAAAAUUACUAACAUAUUUGAUAAUGGGGUCCAAUGUAGGGAGGCCUUAGAUGCUAUAAUUGACCGAUGCUCUGCUCUUCAGAACAUUCGACAAGCUGUAUUGCAGUACAGGAAGGUGUUCAAUCAACAGCAUGUAGAGCCCAGAGUGAGGCGGGUGGCACUGAAUCGCGGGGCUGAGUAUUUGGAGAGGUACUUCCGUCUGAUUGCAUUUGCUGCUUAUCUUGGGAGUGAAGCAUUUGAUGGGUUUUGUGGGCAAGGAGAGUCGAGGAUGACUUUUAAGAGCUGGUUACAUCAAAGGCCUGAGCUUCAGGCAAUGAAGUGGAGUAUUAGGUUACGGCCUGGGCGGUUCUUCACUGUUCCGGAGGAGUUAAGAAUGCCACAAGAGACGCAGCACGGGGAUGCUGUGAUGGAAGCAAUUAUCAAGGCUCGAAAUGGCUCUGUAUUGGGCAAAGGCUCGAUCCUGAAGAUGUAUUUCUACCCGGGUCAGAGAACUUCCAGCACCAUACAGAUUCAUGGGGCUCCUCAUGUUUACAAGGUUGAUGGCUUCCCAGUGUUCAGUAUGGCAACUCCAACUAUCGCUGGUGCUAAGGAGAUGUUGGCAUAUCUCAGUGCCCAUCCUGAUGCGGGAGAAAAGUCCCACAAAGUCGUAAUAACUGAUCUUAGAGAAGAAGCAGUUGUUUACAUCAAUGGAACUCCAUUUGUCCUCAGGGAACUCAACAAACCCGUGGAUACACUCAAGCAUAUAGGAAUUACUGGCCCUGUGGUGGAGCAUUUGGAAGCUCGUCUAAAAGAAGACAUCUUAGCCGAAGUCCGCAAAGGCAGUGGUAGAAUGCUUUUACAUCGGGAGGAAUAUAGUCCUGCAUCUCACCAGUCAAGCGUGAUAGGCUACUGGGAGAACAUUUAUGCCAAGGAUGUGAUGACUCCUGCUGAAGUUUAUGCGUCUUUGAAGGAUAAAGGAUACAAUAUCACAUAUCAGAGGAUACCGUUAACGAGAGAGAGAGAGGCUUUAGCUUCUGAUGUUGAUGCUGUUCAGAACUGCAAAGACAAUUAUUUUGUUCAGUUCUGCUGGGUGCUAUCUUUUUGUGUCUCACACCGGGUUUGGGGGAGCUGCCUAUGCAAUGUCAAUUACUUGUCUUAAACUCAAGGCGGGGGCUAAUUCUGAACCUAUGCUCGAGCAGUCGCUGAUGAGUACGAACCUGAAUCCCACACCUGAACAGAACCUACCUCCAAGGACUUCUGUCGAAGAGGCGCUAAAGAUGGGCGAUUACAGCGACAUACUCAACCUUACAAGGGUCCUUAUCUACGGUCCCAAGAGCAAAGCAGAUGUUGAUGUUAUAAUUGAUAGGUGUACUGGAGCUGGGCAUUUACGGGAUGAUAUCCUCUACUAUAGGAAAGAACUCGAGAAGAUAUAUGAUUAUGAUCAUGAGGAGGAAGAAGAACAGCGAUCGUAUCUCGUUGACAUGGGCAUCAAGGCUUUGAGGCGAUACUUCUUCCUCAUCACAUUUAGAUCAUACCUCUACUGCACGUCGGGAGCUGACGAGACAUCAUUUGCAUCAUGGAUGGAGGCGAGACCUGAACUCGGGCACCUCUUUCACAACCUCAGAAUAGAUCGAUAGAUAGAUGAAGUGAUAGCUCGGAAUCUAUUGUACAGUUUGAAAAACCUCCCUACAUAUCCCAUUAGCACUAGCAGAGAGUAUUUGUAGUUGUAGGCAGUUUAGUUCCAAACAUUGUUUCCUAGGUUGCCGUUUUCUAUUUAUAUAAAUGUAUUUUCCUUUUUCCUGUUCAAUUUCAUGAAGAUGUACAUAAAUGAUAAGCUCUUUAGUAUAAAAUGUAUAAUCCGCUUAUGAUCU